rnacentral:lncRNA from 1 species
CGACGGAGAGGAGGGGCUCGGAGGAGGAGGGGGAUCGUCCGAUCAGCGAUCGAGAAGGAGGGCAUCGAUCGACGAAAAGGAGGAGGGCUGGAGGGAAAUCGUCCGAUCGGUGGUGUCGGUUGUCCGUCGGUCGACAGCGAUCGAAAAGGAGGAGGGGCUCGAAGGAGGAGGGGGAUCGUCCGAUCAGCGAUUGAAAAGGAGGAGG